AAGUCGUAACAAGGUCUCCGUAGGUGAACCUGCGGAGGGAUCAUUACUGAGUGAGGGAGCAAUCCCGACCUCCAACCCUUUGUGAACCACCUCGUUGCUUCGGGGGCGACCCUGCCGUUCGCGGCGUGGGGCCCCCGGAGCCCAUCAAACCCUGCGUAACUAAGUCGUCGGAGUUUAAACAAAUUAAACAAAA
rnacentral:misc_RNA from 1 species